CGGACGGGUGAGUAACGCGUGGAUAACCUGCCGUAUACUGGGGGAUAACACUUAGAAAUAGGUGCUAAUACCGCAUAAGCGCACAGUCUCGCAUGAGACGGUGUGAAAAACUCCGGUGGUAUACGAUGGAUCCGCGUCUGAUUAGCUUGUUGGCGGGGUAACAGCCCACCAAGGCGACGAUCAGUAGCCGGCCUGAGAGGGUGAACGGCCACAUUGGGACUGAGACACGGCCCAAACUCCUACGGGAGGCAGCAG
rnacentral:rRNA from 1 species